rnacentral:rRNA from 1 species
GGGGAAUAUUGCGCAAUGGGGGAAACCCUGACGCAGCAACGCCGCGUGAAGGAUGAAGGUCUUCGGAUUGUAAACUUCUUUGAUUGGGGACGAUAAUGACGGUACCCAAGGAACAAGCCACGGCUAACUACGUGCCAGCAGCCGCGGUAAUACGUAGGUGGCGAGCGUUGUCCGGAAUUACUGGGUGUAAAGGGCGUGUAGGCGGGGAUGCAAGCCAGAUGUGAAAUUCCGGGGCUCAACCCCGGCACUGCAUCUGAAACUGUGUCUCUUGAGUGCUGGAGAGGAAAGUGGAAUUCCUAGUGUAGCGGUGAAAUGCGUAGAGAUUAGGAGGAACACCAGUGGCGAAGGCGACUUUCUGGACAGUAACUGACGCUGAGGCGCGAGAGCGUGGGGAGCAAAC